rnacentral:rRNA from 1 species
ACGACUCUCGGCAACGGAUAUCUCGGCUCACGCAUCGAUGAAGAACGUAGCAAAAUGCGAUACUUGGUGUGAAUUGCAGAAUCCCGUGAACCAUCGAGUUUUUGAACGCAAGUUGCGCCCAAAGCCAUUUGGUUGAGGGCACGUCUGCAUGGGCGUCACGC